rnacentral:lncRNA from 1 species
UCCAACUUCUUAGCUUCUGCUUCUUUUUUCUGUUGUUCUUUGUGCCUGAGUCUCUUGUUCAACUCAACUCUAGUGACCCUCUUUGUUUUGAUAUGCAUGUUGGAUGAAUAUUCAAGCAAUACAAAUAUAUCAUAUUUUUAGUUGAUAUGUAUGGAACCUAUUUACAAUUACAAGCAUAAUAUGAGUAUAAAAAAUAAUAAUAAAUAAAAAAGCAAUAAAAUGACCAUAAAAUAUCUUACAAGAUAUAAUGAUACUUUAGCCACUUUAUCUGAUCUUGUCAUCUUAGUGAUGAAGUUGUGUGAAUUGCUAAGUUCAGAGGAUAUUAGAAAUUGAAUUUUGAGGGUUCAUACAUUUUCAUAAAUCAUAAUCCUUUAGAAGCUCU